GAUACAUAAGUUAAAUGAACAAUGAUGGAAUGAUGUGUUGUCUUGGCUAAAUGCGUUCCCUACUUCCGUUGGAGGGCGCUAAUAGCGGUUUGAACAAUGUUUGAACAUGCGCAUUAGUUAUAUUGUCAUUUAUUUAACGCGUAGCGCGUGGUUUUGUUAAUCUAACCUAAGUUUGCUGUGUAUUUUCACGUGGUAAAUAUAAUUCGUAUAAAAGAUAACGGUUAAAUAUUGACUUAAUGUUCGUGUUUAUGCAGUUUUAAUGUGUAGGAAAAUUGACUAAGUUAAGGAUUAAACUCAACUAAUAUGGUAAUUGUGCUAUGAUGGAUGCUAAUACUGUAAAGUACAAGAAUAAGUGUUGUGUACCUGGCUGUGAUGACAAGGUUUUAAAACGACAUCGUUUUCCAAAAGACCUAAAUCUUUUAAGGAAAUGGAUUGAAAAUAUUAAAGUUCCACAUUUAAUGGCAUUGCAACCGCAUCAAGUAUAUGAUACAAAGUUUGUUUGUCAGAAACAUUUUGCUCCGGAAUAUGUGGUCCCUGGAACCAGAAGGGGCCUUCGUCGAGAUGCUGUGCCCACUUUACACAUAUUAGGCAAUGUGGUAGUAGAAUCAGCUGUACCCACACGAAAUUUAUUUGAAGACACAGAAAAUGAUCCCAUGGAAGUGACCGCAACAACAACUGUACCCACACGAAAUGUAUUUGAAGCCACAGAAAACGUUCCCAUGGAAGUGACCGCAACAACAACUGUACCCACACGAAAUGCAUUUGAAGCCACCGAAAAUGUUCCCAUGGAAGUGACCGCAACAACAACUGUACCCAUAUCUUCCUCAAUAAAAAAACCGCAAGGUAU